UUACGGCCAUAUCACGUUGAAACACCGAUCCCCGUACGAUCACCGAAGUUAAGCAAUGUCGAGCCUGAUCAGUAUCUAGAUGAAUGACCGCUUAGAAAUACCAAGUGCU